GCUGGCGGCGUGCUUAACACAUGCAAGUCGAACGAUGAAGCCGGGGCUUUUGUUUUGGUGGAUUAGUGGCGAACGGGUGAGUAAUACGUGAGUAACCUGCCCUUGUCUUUGGGAUAAGCCUGGGAAACUGGGUCUAAUACCGGAUAUUCUGCUUUUGCCGCAUGGUGGGGGUUGGAAAGAUUUUUUGGAUGGGGAUGGGCUCACGGCCUAUCAGCUUGUUGGUGGGGUGAUGGCCUACCAAGGCGUCGACGGGUAGCCGGCCUGAGAGGGUGACCGGCCACAUUGGGACUGAGAUACGGCCCAGACUCCUACGGGAGGCAGCAGUGGGGAAUAUUGCACAAUGGACGCAAGUCUGAUGCAGCGACGCCGCGUGGGGGAUGAAGGCUUUCGGGUUGUAAACUCCUUUCAGUACAGAAGAAGCAUUUUUUGUGACGGUAUGUGCAGAAGAAGCGCCGGCUAACUACGUGCCAGCAGCCGCGGUAAUACGUAGGGCGCGAGCGUUGUCCGGAAUUAUUGGGCGUAAAGAGCUCGUAGGCGGUUUGUUGCGCCUGCUGUGAAAGACCGGGGCUUAACUUCGGGGUUGCAGUGGGUACGGGCAGACUAGAGUGUGGUAGGGGUAAUUGGAAUUCCUGGUGUAGCGGUGGAAUGCGCAGAUAUCAGGAGGAACACCGAUGGCGAAGGCAGGUUACUGGGCCAUUACUGACGCUGAGGAGCGAAAGCGUGGGUAGCGAACAGGAUUAGAUACCCUGGUAGUCC
rnacentral:rRNA from 1 species